rnacentral:lncRNA from 1 species
GUGCCUCCCUUGCCCUUCAGAGAAGAGGUCUACACCAGCUCUCAGCCCCUGCGUGUGGGGUACUAUGAGACUGACAACUAUACCAUGCCCUCCCCGGCCAUGAGGCGGGCCGUGCUGGAGACCAAACAGAGCCUUGAGGCUGCGGGGCACACGCUGGUUCCCUUCUUGCCAAGCAACAUACCCCAUGCUCUGGAGACCCUGUCAACAGGUGGGCUCUUCAGUGAUGGUGGCCACACCUUCCUACAGAACUUCAAAGGUGAUUUCGUGGACCCCUGCCUGGGGGACCUGGUCUCAAUUCUGAAGCUUCCCCAAUGGCUUAAAGGACUGCUGGCCUUCCUGGUGAAGCCUCUGCUGCCAAGGCUGUCAGCUUUCCUCAGCAACAUGAAGUCUCGGUGUACCGCAAAACCGUGAUUGCCCAGUGGAGGGCGCUGGACCUGGAUGUGGUGCUGACCCCCAUGCUGGCCCCUGCUCUGGACUUGAAUGCCCCAGGCAGGGCCACAGGGGUGGUGCCUGUCACCACGGUGACUGCUGAGGACGAGGCCCAGAUGGAACAUUACAGGGGCUACUUUGGGGAUAUCUGGGACAAGAUGCUGCAGAAGGUGAGGACUGACCUGCCCCUCAACUGGACUCACUCCCCACCCUGACUCUGGCCGCUGUGGAGGAAACAGUACCAGCACUGCGGGGCAUGAAGAAGAGUGUGGGGCUGCCGGUGGCCGUGCAGUGUGUGGCUCUGCCCUGGCAAGAAGAGUUGUGUCUGCGGUUCAUGCGGGAGGUGGAGCGACUGAUGACCCCUGAAAAGCAGUCAUCCUGAUGGCUCUGGCUCCAGAGGACCUGAGACUCACACUCUCUGCAGCCCAGCCUAGUCAGGGCACAGCUGCCCUGCUGCCACAGCAAGGAAAUGUCCUGCAUGGGGCAGAGGCUUCCGUGUCCUCUCCCCCAACCCCCUGCAAGAAGCGCCGACUCCCUGAGUCUGGACCUCCAUCCCUGCUCUGGUCCCCUCUCUUCGUCCUGAUCCCUCCACCCCCAUGUGGCAGCCCAUGGGUAUGACAUAGGCCAAGGCCCAACUAACAGUCAAGAAAC